UUAAUAUGUAAUUUCAUUUGUAUCUCCCUUCUAAUUAAUCCAUAAUUACAUAAAUGUUUAUCUCAAACUAUCAAUAUUAAAAUAUCUCUAUAAUUUAACAUAAAAAAAAAUCUGGUGAAAAUUUCCUUUAAAAUUUACCAAAAUUUACACUUUAUCCUUUAACUAUUAAAAAUAAAUUAUUAAUAUAUACAAAAUUUAUACUAAUUAAUUGAAACAAAUUAAACGAUAUAAAUACUUGAAAAAAAUAU
rnacentral:lncRNA from 1 species